rnacentral:rRNA from 1 species
CUUGUCUUCCAAAUAAAGACCAGUAUGAACGGCGCCACGAGAACUAAGCUGUCUCCCCCCUCUAAUCAGUGAAACUGAUCUCCCCGUGCAGAAGCGGGGAUAAAACCAUAAGACGAGAAGACCCUGUGGAACUUUAAAUUCACAUCAUCUGCUUAUACACUCCUUCACUCAAUAAUUCAGACUUGAUUUGCAUUUUCAGCUGGGGCAUCUAUGGAGAAAACCUACCCUCCAUGAAGAACUUAACCCAAGAGCUACCUCUCUAAGUAUUAAUACUCUUAACCUCACUUGACCCAAUUAUAUUGAUCAACGGACCAAGUUACCCCAGGGAUAACAGCGCAAUCUACUUCUAGAGUUCCUAUCGACAAGUGGGCUUACGACCUCGAUGUUGGAUCAGGGCAUCCUAGUGGUGCAGCCACUACUAAAGGUUCGUUUGUUCAACGAUUAAAGCCCU